rnacentral:pre_miRNA from 1 species
GCAGCUCAAAUUGACUCUAGUAGGGAGUCCUUUUCUUGAGCGACUCCCUAACGGAGUCAGAUUGAACUUCAA